CCUACGGGCGGCAGCAGUGGGGAAUAUUGGGCAAUGGGCGCAAGCCUGACCCAGCAACGCCGCGUGAAGGAAGAAGGCUUUCGGGUUGUAAACUUCUUUUGACAGGGAAGAGCAGAAGACGGUACCUGUCGAAUCAGCCACGGCUAACUACGUGCCAGCAGCCGCGGUAAUACGUAGGUGGCAAGCGUUGUCCGGAUUUACUGGGUGUAAAGGGCGUGUAGCCGGGCUGACAAGUCAGAUGUGAAAUCCGGGGGCUUAACCCCCGAACUGCAUUUGAAACUGUUGGUCUGGAGUACUGGAGAGGCAGGCGGAAUUCCUAGUGUAGCGGUGAAAUGCGUAGAUAUUAGGAGGAACACCAGUGGCGAAGGCGGUCUGCUGGACGACAACUGACGGUGAGGCGCGAAAGCGUGGGGAGCAAACAGGAUUAGAUACCCGUGUAGUC
rnacentral:rRNA from 1 species